rnacentral:tRNA from 1 species
GUUUCCGUAGUGUAGUGGUUAUCACGUUCGCUUUACACGCGAAAGGUCCAAAGUUCGAGCCCGGGCGGAAACA